rnacentral:sRNA from 1 species
UAUUAUUUAAUAGGUGGCACAUUAUUCUAGUCAAUUUCUUUUUUAUGAAGAUGGGAUUAAAACACCAUUAAAGGGCAUAUCGAUGAGGCCUUUGGUGUCUGCUUAUUGCGCCCAGCUUUGGGUGGAUGCUGAAGAUGAAAGUGUAGGGGCGAACUAUAACGGCAUAUAGAUUUUGACCCCACAUUUGUGGAGACCUAUUAUUGUCGUAAAUCUAUAAUUUGCUACAAAUGAUGAUUUAUAACGGAAUAGGAUAAAACCUAUAUUGUGACGAAAGUUAUGUAUAGUGUAGCCUGUCUUGAGUGGUAGACUUGGGAGUCAUAAGAUGAAAUUGCUACUGCAAAAGAGAACUAAUUUUAAAGAAUUGCUGGGGAAAUCCUCUAGAGUGAUUUAGUAUAGGAUUGCAGUGGAUACUAAGUGGUAAUCAAGCCGUAUGUUUACAUACUUUAUUUUUUAAAGGGGAACCGCAUUGUUGGCAACGAUAAUGUAAAAUAAAAGGAAAUCUUGCUUGACCUAAGAUUCAAAGUUAACUAUAUUAAGGCCACCAUA